GUGGCUUGCUUCAGCACUACGUCUAUUACGUUGGAAAGAUAGAGAUUAGCCUGGCCCCUGUGCAAGGAUGACAUGAAAAUUCGUAAAGCAGCCCAUAUUUUC
ensembl:snRNA U6 U6 spliceosomal RNA